GCAGCCUCAGGACCUCUCGGACCGAAGGAAGCCGCUCGCUGCACACUGCGGAUGAAAGGCCGGCCCGUCCCACCCCGCUGCGCUCAGUGGGCUCGUGCACGGAUCACGGAUACUAGCACACGAUCCAACGAGGAAUUCCCCCCCCCCCCCCCCCCAAAAAAAACAACAACAACCGCGAAACCCAUCAGCCUCGGCAGAGGGUGUGUGGGAUGUAUCGAUCCGAUCCACGCGCUCACCUGUUUGUCGGCGCGAGGCUGCACACAAAGUCAAGUGUCCUGCACAUCUGGAGCCCAAACGAUGCUCCCGGCCGUCCUCGUCUCCACAUGUGGAUGUUUUAGUCUCCAUGGACUAUGUGAAAGAAGCUUCCGACUUUCCUUUUGCUGUGCAGGAAACAACGGAGCCUGUUCCUGUCUUUGGUUAUCUAGCUGUAUGAGUGUUAAUCCUCCAUCAUAAAGCUAGAUAACCGAAAGUAGGAAUGUCCUCCAAACCCUCAGCUUCCAUGUGUUAAUGGACAGAAAUAAGACGGAUAUGGAGACAUCAUGUGUUUUCAGAAAAGGACCCAUGGCGCUAAUGCCGCCGUCCUGUGGAGGAUCUUCAUCUAACUUUUGCCAUACUUCAUAUAUAGAAAUGGUCUACCAUUAAAUUUACAAAAGUGUACAUGAAACAGCAGUUUUUAAUGAGUUCUGAUUCUGAAACAGAAAACACUGUAAAUAUAAUAUCCCUGACUGUUAUUUAUUUGCUUUUUGAGAAUCAUUUCUUUAAAAUGGAUUUAAAAUAUGGAUAGAUGUUGACUCAAAUAUGAUGCUUGAUUUAUGAUCCUGUUCUCUCAAAAUAAUAUAUACCUUUUGGCUUUAUCGUGAUUGUAUUAGUAUCUAGCAUAUCAGAACUGAAGGGCUGCUGUUUUCUUCUUUCACACAAGGAGAACAUGCGGCAUUUGAGAAUUUUAAGUCGAGUGGAUUGAUAUGUUUUGCUUCUUACUCAAUAAAACUAAUAUGUUAU